rnacentral:rRNA from 1 species
GACGAACGCUGGCGGCGUGCUUAACACAUGCAAGUCGAACGGAAAGGCCCUGCAUUUGUGGGGUGCUCGAGUGGCGAACGGGUGAGUAUCACGUGAGUAACCUGCCCUUGUCUUUGGGAUAACUUCAGGAAACUGGGGCUAAUAUCCGGUAUGAGCUCCUUCUGCAUAGGGUGUGUGUGUGAGUUUCGCCGGUUGGGGAUGGACUCGUGGCUUAGCAGCGUGUUGGUGAGGUAGUGGAUUACCAAGGCUUCGACGGGUAGCCGGACUGAGAGGGUGACCGGGCACAUUGGGACUGAGAUAGGGGCCAGAGGGCUACGGGAGGAAGCGGUGGGGAACUUUGCACAAUGCGCGGAAGGAGGAUGCAGCAACGCCGCGUGGGGGAAGACGGUCUUUGGGUUGUAAACCGCUUUAGACUGUGACGAAGAGUGAGUGACGGUAACGGGUCAAGAAGCAACGGCUAACUACGUG